AUGGCUUCUUUCAACCCAAAAAACUCAUUUACUAUUUUUAACUUGAAGAGUUUAUUAAAGUUAGCUGAGUUCUAUCAUGAUGAUUUUAGUUCAACACAAUUGAUUUAUCUUGUCCAUGAACUUUGGAUAUACAUUCACAAUGUCCAAGCGGACCAAAGAUUUGCCAAUUUGGAUGGCAUGGAUGAUCUUUCUAAAGUGUUGGUGGGCACUAGGAAGCAUCUUGUUUUUCCUUUGGUGUAUCAACUUCUAAAGUUUGUGCAAAUUUUGACGGUUGCCACAACGUCAGUGGAGAGAUGCUUUUUUCAGCAAUGA
rnacentral:rRNA from 1 species